GGCUCUGAACCAAGUUGUCCUAUGGGACAAGAUCGUUCUAAGAGGUGAUAAUCCGAAGCUACUGCUGAAAGAUAUGAAAACAAAAUAUUUUUUCUUUGACGAUGGAAAUGGUCUCAAGGGAAACAGGAAUGUCACUUUGACCCUGUCUUGGAACGUUGUACCAAAUGCUGGAAUUCUACCUCUGGUGACAGGAUCAGGACACGUAUCUGUUCCAUUUCCAGAUACAUAUGAAAUAACGAAGAGUUAUUAAAUUAUUCUGAAUUUGAAACAACA